GUAUAUUACUUCACAAUGUCAAUAUAAAUAUGUUUGCAACUUUUUAACAUUAAAUAAAAUUGCAAAGGCACUUUAUAAAAACAACACAAUUUGUACACGAUAGUUUGUACAUGCACGGGACUGUUACUAAAUAGUAUACUGUAAUACUGUAUGUACACUGUUGCAACUUGCCAUCAUAUUACCUACCUACAAAUUUUUGAAGUUUGCCCUUACUCUACUUGUAUUUAUAUUAAAAUUCGCGCUUAUCAGAAGUGCGCGAAACUACAACUGAGCGAAAAAUAAUCCAAAAUAACUGAUACACUCUAGUUUCGAGAACAAAGAAAUUAUUAUAUAUGACAUCAUGCACACUGUGCAUUUUUCAUUCGAUUUGUUGCCGAGAUUUUACGAGUUCAACAAGCAAGCAAUCGGUUAAAGCCCGUUUUCCACUAGGCGAAUUUGUUCGCGCGAAGCGAAAUACACAUUUCGUCAAUGAAAUUCGUCAAUGAUCUGAUUAGUUAGUGAUAUAUUUUUCAUUGACAAUGAAAAAUUUUAUCACUAGCCAAUCAAGAUUGUCGAAAUUUGUUUUUG